rnacentral:rRNA from 1 species
UACGUAGGGGGCAAGCGUUGUCCGGAUUUAUUGGGCGUAAAGAGCUCGUAGGCGGUUCCGUAAGGCAGGUGUGAAAAAUCUGGGCUCAACCCAGUGGAGCACCUGAUACUGCGGUGACUCGAGUCCGGUAGGGGAGUGUGGAAUUCCUGGUGUAGCGGUGAAAUGCGCAGAUAUCAGGAGGAACACCGACGGCGAAGGCAGCACUCUGGGCCGGUACUGACGCUGAGGAGCGAAAGCAUGGGGAGCGAACAGG